UUCCUGAGUCUAAGAGAUAGGCUCACUGCCUGUUCUGGAUGGGGUUGCACUCCCUCUGAAAGAUCAGGUUCAUAGUUUGGGGGUACUACUAGAUCCAUCAUUGUCACUGGAGGUCCAAGUGGCCACGGUGGCUCAGAAUGCCUUUUACCAGUUUGAUAUGGCUUGCCUUCUGGACAGGGAUAUCUUGGCCACAGUAGUACAGGCAUUAGUAACCUCAAGACUGGAUUACUGCAAUGUGAUCUAUGUUGGGCUGCCCUUAAGGCUGCUCCAGAAGCUGGAGCUGGUGCAGAACGCAGCAGAUCGGCUGUUAUCAGGAGCUGCCUCCUGCAUAUAUCUCCUUUGCUGAGGGAAUUGCACUGGCAGCCUAUUGGCUACCGGGCCAGGUUUAAGGUUUUGGUACUGGUGUACAAAGCUCUAAACAACUUGGGACUAGGAUACCUGAGAGGACUAGGACACCUUCUCCCUUACCAACCUGCACAGUCACUGAGGUCUUUGGAGGGCAUACUCCUGGUGGUUCUACAUAAACCUAUGGCCCAACUGGAGUCCACCAGGAGAAAAGCCUUUAGUGUGGUGGCCCCUUCUCUUUGGAACACUCUGCUUCUGGAGGUCAGGCAGGUGCCAACACUAUGCUACUUCCAGCACCUCCUGAAAACAACUAUUUUUGAGGAAGCAUUCCUCAACUGACCUGCCACUGCUUUUUACUAGGGCUGUGAUGCGCUUCUCUUCGGUUCGGAGAAGCAAUAGCAAAGCAGGGGGCUUCACCUCCAUUAUAGGCGGAGGAGAAGCGAGUCAGGGGCUAGCAAAGCCCUUUAACCAAGUUAAAACAAUAUAUAAUUUAAAAGCAGUAAAACUAUUAAAACAGUUAAAACAAUGUGCCUAGUGAAUUCAACCAUCAAAGACUUUGUUAAAAAGCCAUGUUUUCACUUGGUGCUGGAAUAAAAUCAGCGUUGGCGCCAGUCGGGCCUCCAAGGGGAGGGCAAUCCACAGUCGGGGUGCCACAACAGAGAAAGCCCUCUCCCUUGUCACAUCAUAGCAAAUGUGUUGUUCUGGGGGGGAUCUACACUACUGCUUUUAAAGCGCUUUAAAGCACUUUGAAAACAUUUUGAAAACUGUAUAUGCAGUGUGUCCUGGGCCCCAAACAGUUCUCAAAACUGUUAUAAAGCGCUUUAAAGCAGUAGUGUAGAUCCCCCCCCCCCCGAUGGGAUGCGGAGAAGGGCUUCUCCAAUAGAUCUCAAGUCUCAGGCAGGCAUAUAUAAGGAGAGACAAUCCCUUAAGUAUCGAGGUCCCAAGCCAUUUAGGGCUUUAAACGUCAUUAACAACACCUUGAAUUCCGUCCGGAAGCAUAUAGGCAGCCAGUGCAAUUCCUUUAAGACCGGUGUUAUGUGGUCUCUGUAAGAUGUACCCGCCAGCAGUCUAGCUGCUGCCUUUUGCACUAGCUCGCAACUUCCUAGUCGUCUUCAAGGGCAGCCUCAUGUAGAGUGCAUUGCAGUAGUCACAUUGGGAAGUUACCAGUGUAUGCACUACUGUGGCUAGGUUGUCCCUGUCCAGGAAAGUCCGUAUCUGGCGGAUCAGCCAAAGCUGACCCCAAGUACUCUGUGCCAUGGAGUCCACCUGGGCCUCCAGUUACAAAGAUGGAUCUAGGAGUACUCCCAAGCUACACACCUGCUCCUUCAGAGGAAGCGCCACCUCAUCCAGAACAGGUUGCUUACCCAAUUCCCAGACUCGGGAACCAUCAAUCCACAGAGCUUCCAUCUUAUCAGGAUUCAGCUUCAGUUUAUUGGCCCUCAUCCAGCCCAUUACAGCCUCUAUCCCAUUCCAGGCACUGGUCCAGCACCUCCACAGCCCCAGCUUACUUUGAUGACAAGGAGAAAUAGAGCUGAGUAUCAUCAGCAUACUGAUGGCGCCCAACCCCAAAAUGACCUCACCAACACCUUCAUAUAGAUGUUGAACAGCAUGGGGGAUAGAAUAGCUUAAUUGCCAUGGGGUGGAACACGAAUCUCCCAAUGCCAUUCUCUGGAAUCAGCCCUGCAAGUAGGAGUGGAACCACUGUAACACAGUGCCUCCUACUCCCAUCUCACAGAGCUGAUCCAGUAAGAUACCAUGAUCAAUGGUAUCAAACGCCGCUCAAAGAUCCAGGAAGAUCAACAGGGUAGCACUCCCCCUGCCAGGUCGUCAGUCAGAGCCACCAAGGCUGUUUCAGUGCAUUGACCACAUGCAUGAUGUCCCUGGGGCCUGAGUAAAUUCGACAAAGUCUUCUGCGCCAUGGAGGAGGUCACGAUUACAAGUGCUAGCCUUGAAUCUGGCUGCUUCGAUUAUCUUCUUUGGAUACCCUCUGCUUUGAAACCACUGUGUUAGGAUCUGUGACUCCCGAAGAAAGUCCUGAUGUUCCGAGCAAUUGCAUUUUACUCUCAAAAAUUGACUGUAUGGUGAUCUAGGCAUAUGGGUGCUGGUUCUCCAAGUAACUCUGCUUGUAUCCUGUUGUGUAAUUGUUCUGCCACUUGCCUGAAUCUUGAUAAGGCAUGGGCACAAGAUAUUACUGCAGAGAAGAUCUGUGAUAUAUUUUUUCAAAGAAGGCCAAGAAACUGACACUCCUUAGGACCCUGACGAAACAGGGUUGUUGUUGUUGUUUUAAAAAACUAUUAAUUCCUGUCUUGGCUUCUACUUUUUGGG